AGGAAAGAAGGAGGGAGAGUUGGUUCUUUGGGCCAAGACCCAGAAGCACAUAGACUGGCUCUCAGCUCAAGAGGCUUUUCUAGGUCACUCUCUGUGUUGCUGUCUCUUUCUCCAGCCAGCCUUCUCUGCUUCACGUUUCUUUCAUGUUUCUGACUCAUAGACCUGUUGUUUGACUCAUACUAUCCCUGGGAGUCAGGAUUCAAGGUUUAACAAUAUGGGCAGCAGGAGCACCACUGUCUGCUGUGUCCCUAAGGCUGACGUUGACUCUGAUCUUGCUGUGCAAAGGGACUUCCUAUUCUGCCUGCCCUCCAGGUUCCUUACAAUAAAGGAGACGCUUAGACUCUUCUGAACCAGAACCAUCAGGUGUGAGCGUUUGGAAUCCAGGAAGUCCUCGCCACCUGGCUGUAGAUGGGGAAGCGAUAGCUCAUUGUAUGCUUCUGCAAGAGAACGAGCGAAUGAACUCCAGUUCUUCUAUAUGAGCCAAGCAUUCUCCAGCACCAUCCCUGACAGCUGACCAUGAAGGAGGACUGCUGCUUGAUAAGAGUGGCUUUGUCUGGCAUUUAGAUGGGGUGAGUAGUCAUUCAAAGGAGGAUCUUCUCACUUUGCCCAAUGAGUAAUCCAACAACUGAGUAGAGACAUUGAGACACUGGGCUGGGCACUGGGCCAGGUGUGUGUCAGACGGUCGUGAACAUUAGGGCUACAUUCCUGCUCCUGUGGGGUAGGAAUAGAUAAAAGUUGGAUGGAAGUAAAAAAAAAUAAAUAAAAACAGAUAAUUGGAGUAUUGGAGA
rnacentral:sRNA from 1 species